CCUACGGGGGGCUGCAGUGGGGAAUAUUGGACAAUGGGGGGAACCCUGAUCCAGCCAUGCCGCGUGUGUGAAGAAGGCCCUCGGGUUGUAAAGCACUUUCAGUGAGGAAGAACGCCUGGUGGUUAAUACCCAUCAGGAAAGACAUCACUCACAGAAGAAGCACCGGCUAACUCCGUGCCAGCAGCCGCGGUAAUACGGAGGGUGCGAGCGUUAAUCGGAAUUACUGGGCGUAAAGCGCGCGUAGGUGGCUUGAUAAGCCGGUUGUGAAAGCCCCGGGCUCAACCUGGGAACGGCAUCCGAAACUGUCAAGCUAGAGUGCAGGAGAGGAAGGUAGAAUUCCCGGUGUAGCGGUGAAAUGCGUAGAGAUCGGGAGGAAUACCAGUGGCGAAGGCGGCCUUCUGGACUGACACUGACACUGAGGUGCGAAAGCGUGGGUAGCAAACAGGAUUAGAUACCCUUGUAGUC
rnacentral:rRNA from 1 species